rnacentral:rRNA from 1 species
CCUACGGGAGGCAGCAGUAGGGAAUCUUCCGCAAUGGACGAAAGUCUGACGGAGCAACGCCGCGUGAGUGAUGAAGGCCUUCGGGUCGUAAAACUCUGUUGUUAGGGAAGAACAAGUACCGGAGUAACUGCUGGUACCUUGACGGUACCUGACCAGAAAGCCACGGCUAACUACGUGCCAGCAGCCGCGGUAAU